CCCCUUUUAAAAGCACUCAGUGGGCCUUUUGCUAAUGACCCAUCGAGCUGUCCAGAAGGAGCAGAGCCAAAAACACCACUUUUGGGUGAAGUGGCAGCUUGUUGUGUUGUUUUGCUUCAAUCGGUGGAACAAGA
ensembl:snoRNA